AAUCUACAGAACCCAGGGCAAUUCACAGCAGUCUACUUCCACAUGGAACAAUUGAAAGCACCAUUAAGCAAUGCAAAUAUUUCUGGGAGAACAAGGAAGGCCUGUAUUUAAUUUUUAAAAUCAACUGAUAUUUUGGAUCUAUAAACAUUACUGAUAUAUUGCUUAUGUCCUGCAGGUCAAAAGGAUGAUGGAAGAUGGAACCUUUGUAGGUUUCUGUAACUUCCUGGCUGACUUGUUUGAGGCCAUCAGUAAAUUCAGACUUCUCCUUCAAAGGAAUGAUAUCAUCUUGCCUCAAGUAAGGCUAAAGUUUAAGCUAAAUUAAAUCAGAAUAGGAUUAAUUCUAAUCAGAUUAUGUUUCGUUUUUUUCCCCCCUUAUUGUUCUAAUUUCUAAGGAAAAUGUUUUAGAGGCUGUCACCGGGAUUGAAAAUCUCAUUGAGACUGUUGAGGCCAUGGCAGUCAGAUGCAUGCCAGGUGGUAGGCUAGCAGAGCUACAGACAGAUCAUCGGGCUCAGAAACGAAGGAAGGAGGAUGAUGCUGAGAUUCACCCUGUAUACAAAUAUCAGACGAAGAGUCCACAGCAACAGCAACCACAAAGACAGUGAGGUAAUUUAAGAUCUUCAGUCAUGAUUCCUGGCCAGAGCAGAGAGACCAGCUGAUAGACUAUGGUGCAGAGGAGCUGGACUUCCUGCUGGACCAUUUCUCCACCAUAUUAACAAGGUCAAUGACUCAGGGAAGUGGUAGCACAGUGGUGGGAAGUGGUAGCUCACAGUUAAGAUGCUGGACAUCUGAUCGGAAGGCUGUGAAUUCAAAUCCUUACACCGCCAAACUGCCACUCUUGGGCCCUUGAGCAAAGCCCUUAACCAUCAACUGCUCAGUUGUAAUAAAAUGAGAUAAUUGUAAGUCACUCUGGAAGAGAGCGUCUGCCAAAUGCUGUAAUGUAAUGUAACGCUGUAAUGACUCUUUAAAUCAUCCUGGCAGAGGAUAUAAAAGACACCAUAACAAAGAACAUAAUUUCACACACCUAACUCGAUCCUAUAGAAACUUAGAUUGUUUGGUCAUCUUUUUCUUAACUCUUUUCAGAAAUGGCUGUAACACCAAUCUGGCUAGAGAGGCGUAUCAGUCCACAAAGAUGUUAAUCUCCAGAAACUACAUGGAUAAAUCCUACCAGGCCCUAUGAGAGAUGAUGCAAAAAAAAAGUUGCCAUUCUACUCUGAUUACAAGAACAUCCUACAUCUGUGCACAUUAUGCUGGUCCUCCCCGUCUCCUCUGCUGUGUGUGAAAGGGCACAGAAGGGUAUUAAAUCUGAUGUCAGGGGGUCCCUGCAUAUAGACACACUCAUUAGAAUAAGUAUGACCGGACCUAGCUUGGAAGAGUUUGACGCCAAGGAGGCUGUACACAGUCAGUGUAAAAGAUCAAGGAAGCCCAACUAUAAGGGUUGGCCGUCAGAGCCUCCCACAGGAGGAUGUGCUCUGAGGGAGAGAAAGGAGAGGCACAGGCUGUUCUGAUGCUGUAAUGACAGCAAAGUAACUACUGACCAGUGACCACUUACCUCAUGUUUACAUUUAUUGUAUUUGUUUUGUUUUGGAUUUUGCACUGUAAUGGCAGCAAUAAUACUUUGUUUACAUAUCUGAAUGUGCAUUUGUUAAGCACCAUUCAAUUAAAAUGUGACUGUGAACUAAAAUAAAACAGCAAAUUGUAGUUUCUGUAUUUAUUUCCAAAGCAUUUAUACAGUUAAAAUAGGGAAAAUGUGUAAAAUUACAUGGCAGGUCUAUUUAAGGUGUGCGCCCGUACAUUUUCUGCCUGUGCCCCUAAAAUAUUCAGUUAGGGGCUAUAGUGCUGCUAGUUAAAAACAUUUCUGCUUUCUGACCCCAAGAUGCAACUAACUUCGCAAUUUUCCAGCUGUGAUCCUUGCAGAUAAUUUGGCUACUCGAACCAUCCUCUCCACAGUGCGUUGAGACAAUAUAGACACUUCCUCUUCCAGGUUGAUUUAUAAUAUUUAUAGUUGGCUGGAACUUCUUAAUUAUUGUCCUGAUGGUGUGCUUUUUUCUUAUAGCCACUUCCCAUUUUGUGAAGUUCAACAACCCUUUAUAACAGCUAUAAUCCUUGGUCUUACCCAUUGUUAUGAAUGACUAAGGGAAU